CUUAAAUAGGGACAGAGAUCAGGAACACAGGUGAGGUAAUGACCAGGAGGAUCUUAAAUAGGGACAGUGAUCAGGAACACAGGUGAGGUAAUGACCAGGAGGAUCUUAAAUAGGGACAGUGAUCAGGAACACAGGUGAGGUAAUGACCAGGAGGUUCUUAAAUAGGGACAGUGAUCAGGAACACAGGUGAGGUAAUGAACAGGAGGAUCUUAAAUAGGGACAGUGAUCAGGAACACAGGUGAGGUAAUGAACAGGAGGAUCUUAAAUAGGGACAGUGAUCAGGAACACAGGUGAGGUAAUGAACAGGAGGUUCUUAAAUAGGGACAGUGAUCAGGAACACAGGUGAGGUAAUGACCAGGAGGAUCUUAAAUAGGGACAGUGAUCAGGAACACAGGUGAGGUAAUGACCAGGAGGAUCUUAAAUAGGGACAGUGAUCAGGAACACAGGUGAGGUAAUGAACAGGAGGAUCUUAAAUAGGGACAGUGAUCAGGAACACAGGUGAGGUAAUGACCAGGAGGAUCUUAAAUAGGGACAGUGAACAGGAACACAGAUCCACCUCUGAGGAGAAUCUCCUUCUGUGGAACACUUCUAACACUUUACCUGAGAAUUUCAUCCUGCCUGGAGGGUUACGGGAUCGACUGGAUCUGGAACAGCAGAAGGAUUACAUCUAUUUGAAAAUCUACAAUGUUACUCAGUCAGACUCUGGUCAGUACAAGCUAGAGUGCCGGACAGAUGAGAAGGUUUCAUACCAGGAACAAUUAAUCCUCUCAGUCUGCAGUACAGUAAAAGACAUGAUGUCAGGGAAACUGCAUCCGGAUCCAGAAGAAAUAGAACUUCAGUGUGGAGGAGCAUUUGGCCGUGAUGAUGUGGAGGUCCAAUGGAUCUACCAAACACUGGAGGAAAAACGACAACCUUUAAUAUUGGACCAAUCAGCACAGAAAAAAGACAUCUCCUCUCUACACAUUAAUUUAACCCAGAACAACAGGGGUGUGUACUCAUGCCUGGUACUGGAGGGAAAGAGUUGUGUUUACAGUGAGACAAUGAUUGUAUUAAACAACUGGCCGUUAAUGUAUCGUUCAGUAGGAGAUGAGGCUGUACUUCCCUGCUUUAACAAGGAUCCUAAUCAGACAGAGAUGUGGUGGUGGACACCUAUGGGAAGGAUCCAACCAUCUACAUCUUUAAACCAGUCUGAGAGAAUCAUCACUGGUCAAGUCAACCAGAUGUACAUGGAAGAUGGAAGAAUAUCAGGGAAUUACUCACUGGUCAUCCCAUCACUUACACUUGAACACACAGGGUCUUACAUGUGUCUUGUUAAAGAGGCAUAUAUAGAAAAAGAUAUACUGACUGUGUGUCCGAGCUCCGAGCCCCUCACAGAGUACUUCUCAGUGGGAGAGGAGGUUGUUCUCAAAUGUAACUCUAAUCUGAAUGAACGUGUGGUGUGGGUCAGAAACACUGGUCAGGGGGCCAAUGUCAUUCUGGAUCGGUAUAUUGGUUUCAUACUCUCACUCCCUGAGGAUUUGGUUGGGAGAAUAAAUGUGUCUCACUCCACUCUGGUCCUCUCUAACCUGACACUGAAGGACAUUGGAGAGUACUGCUGUUUUGUUUUUACUGUUAACUUUAAUUCCGUGUGUCUCUCAUCAACCAAGACCAUCCUGCUGAAGAGGGACCCCUUUGGCAUCAACUCCACAUUCUACAGAGAUUACUCUUCACUGAUGGCCUGUGCUCUGCUGGGGAUGGUCUGUGUUCUGAUCACUGUGAACCUGAAGACCAGGAGAAGAAACCAGGCUUCCGUGAAGACCAGGAGAGUUGAAGCCCAGACACAGAGGAGCAGCAGAGUAGAGGAGGAGAGAGAAGAGAGGGAUGAAGAAGAGUAAGAAUAGAGUGAAGUAGAAAGAAAGGAUAGAGAGAAGAGUGUGAUGACCAAAGAUAGAAUGAAUAAGGAAGUGGAGACGGGAGGAAGAGGAGACCAAAGAGUGAUGUAAUAAGAGAUAGAUGUACUUUAAUUUAUAGUCAACAUACAAAUGUGACUGACUCCCUCACCCACACACCCAUACAAACCCACAGGUGUAAAUACUGAUGUAAAUUCUCAGUUGUUAUUGGUAUUGUGUCUAUUUUGUAUAUUUUUCUGGUGUCGUUGAGUAGG
rnacentral:lncRNA from 1 species